rnacentral:rRNA from 1 species
UACGUAGGUGGCAAGCGUUGUCCGGAUUUACUGGGCGUAAAGAGCGCGCAGGCGGUCGUGCAAGUCGCGUGUGAAAGCCCCCCGGCUCAACUGGGGAGGGUCACGCGAUACUGCUCGACUCGAAGGCAGGAGAGGGAAGUGGAAUUCCCGGUGUAGUGGUGAAAUGCGUAGAUAUCGGGAGGAAUACCAGUGGCGAAGGCGCCUUGCUGGACAGUUACUGACGCUGAGGCACGAAAGCGUGGGGAGCAAACGGG